rnacentral:RNase_P_RNA from 1 species
UGGGCAGGUCGGAUGGUCGCCCCCUGCUGAUUUGCUUCGGCCUCUUUGGCCAGAAGUAAAUCAAUGCGCUGGGGGAGGAAAGUCCGAGCUCCACAGGGCAGCGUAGCGGGUAACGCCCGUCGCUCGUAAGAGUAGGAUUAGAGCCACAGUGACGAACAAUCCUAAACCGGGGCCUGACGGCCUAAGGUUGGGACGAAGUGAAACGCGGCAAUCUCUACGCGGAGCAAGGCCAAAUAGGCCCCGACUUUAGAACGGCCCGUUCUAUAAAGUCGUCGGGGCGGGUUGGCCGCUUGAGCCCGCGAGUAAUCGCGGGACUAGAUGGAUGACCGUCGCUUCGACAUAUCGUCGGAGGACAAAACUCGGCUUAUAGACCUGCCCAUUUU